rnacentral:misc_RNA from 1 species
UCUCCGUAGGUGAACCUGCGGAGGGAUCAUUACAGAGUCCAUGCCCUACCAGGUAGAUCUCCCACCCUAUGUUAUUAUUACUUUGUUGCUUUGGCGGGCCGUUAGGCUCCGGCCCGACUACCGGCCCCGGCUGGUAAGCGCCCGCCAGAGGACCCAAAACCCUGAAUAUUAGUGUCGUCUGAGUACUAUAUAAUAGUUAAAACUUUCAACAACGGAUCUCUUGGUUCUG